CAGCCUUGUUGAUCAAUGUGAAUGUGUGGACACCAGAUCCGUCCAUGUGCCUGUAAUCUUGUGGUAUACCAAUAUCAUCGAAUAGGAAAGUGAACAUGUGCAGGCUUUCAGGAUGAUGAGAGAAAAAAUCAAGGACCCUCCAAUUCUCCUGGAUAUGGGACUUAGGAUUUGGCUUCAGAGAAUGAACCAUGUCAGGGAACUUCAUUCCAUCACGGAUGAAGAAGACGGGGAAGUUGUUCCCUACCAGAUCAAAGUUUCCCUGAUGCAGGCAUAUCAAAAUUAGGGCAGAAGAUAAGGACUAACUUCAAAUUCAAUCAACAAAUUGCAAAUAUAAUGCAAACAUGUUUUGAAAACCAACGAGAUCUUUUCUUGAUGAGACUAUGAAAAGGCAGGCGGGAAUCAUGAAAAUUAGGCAGCAUAAAAGUCACUGCAUGGUAUUGAAUAUCAAACAGCCCUAUGGUCUCUUGCACGGUGUUAAGGAACAUAAACAAUCACGUCAUAUUACAUAACCUGACUGAAUGUUAGCAAACAAGCAGAUCCAUAUGCAGGGUACUUAAAGAAAGGUAUGUACUAGGACAUGCAGAUACACUAAAGAAAAAGCUAAAUGAACUCCACAUAUAUGAAGCAGUCCAGGCAACUCUUAGGGAAACAUAUUAAGCCAUGUGCCAAUAAAGAAAUUAUUAAAACAUGCAUACUCCAGUCUGCAUAUGGAAAUUGAAGUAUGAAGGUACAGAAUAAUAGUAGUCAUAACUUGUCAAAUUGAUGUUUGGCAUACCUCUCUAGUGUAGAACUUGACAGCAAAACCACGAGGGUCUCUCAGAGUUUCAGGACUACCCCUCUCAUGAAUAACAGUAGAAAAUCUCACAAUGACAGGAGUCUGGACACCGGGAGCUCGAAGGAAAUCAGCACAGGUAAGGUGAGUAAUGUCAUGAGUAACUUCAAAAAACCCUUUGGCACUAGCACCACGGG
rnacentral:lncRNA from 1 species